GUCUAUGGCCAUACCACCCUGAACGCGCCCGAUCUCGUCUGAUCUUGGAAGCUAAGAAGGGUCGGGCCUGGUUAGUACUUGGAUGGGAGAAUAAAGGGGAUUAUGAAUA
rnacentral:rRNA from 1 species